rnacentral:rRNA from 1 species
AUUAGGAAUCUUGCGCAAUGGGCGAAAGCCUGACGCAGCGACGCCGCGUGACUGAUGAAGUCUUUCGGGAUGUAAAGGUCUUUUGCACGGGACGAAGGAAGUGACGGUACCGUGCGAAUAAGCCCCGGCUAACUACGUGCCAGCAGCCGCGGUAAUACGUAGGGGGCGAGCGUUGUCCGAAUUCACUGGGCGUAAAGCGCGCGUAGGCGGGCAUUUAAGUUGUGGGUGAAAUCCCGAGGCUCAACCUCGGAGCUGCCUGCAAAACUGGGUGCCUGGAGGUAUGGAGAGGGAAGUGGAAUUCCUGGUGUAGCGGUGAAAUGCGUAGAUAUCAGGAGGAACACCCGUGGCGAAGGCGGCUUCCUGGCCAUAUCCUGACGCUGAGGUGCGAAAGCUAGGGGAGCGAACGGGAUUAGAAACCCGAGUAGUCC